rnacentral:rRNA from 1 species
GAUGAACGCUGGCUACAGGCUUAACACAUGCAAGUCGAGGGGAAACGACGGGGAAGCUUGCUUCCUUGGGCGUCGACCGGCGCACGGGUGAGUAACGCGUAUCCAACCUGCCUCUGACUGAGGGAUAACCCGUCGAAAGUCGGCCUAAUACCUCAUGGCAUCGUCUGCGGGCAUCCAACGACGAUUAAAGAUUUCAUCGGUCAGGGAUGGGGAUGCGUCUGAUUAGCUUGUUGGCGGGGUAACGGCCCACCAAGGCGACGAUCAGUAGGGGUUCUGAGAGGAAGGUCCCCCACAUUGGAACUGAGACACGGUCCAAACUCCUACGGGAGGCAGCAGUGAGGAAUAUUGGUCAAUGGGCGAGAGCCUGAACCAGCCAAGUAGCGUGCAGGAAGACGGCCCUAUGGGUUGUAAACUGCUUUUAUGCGGGGAUAAAGUGAGGGACGUGUCCUUCAUUGCAGGUACCGCAUGAAUAAGGACCGGCUAAUUCCGUGCCAGCAGCCGCGGUAAUACGGAAGGUCCGGGCGUUAUCCGGAUUUAUUGGGUUUAAAGGGAGCGUAGGCCGUGGAUUAAGCGUGUUGUGAAAUGCAGGUGCUCAACGUCUGCACUGCAGCGCGAACUGGUUCACUUGAGUGUGCGCAACGCAGGCGGAAUUCGUCGUGUAGCGGUGAAAUGCUUAGAUAUGACGAAGAACUCCGAUUGCGAAGGCAGCUUGCGGGAGCACAACUGACGCUGAAGCUCGAAAGUGCGGGUAUCGAACAGG